AAUUAAAAAAUUUGGCAUUCAGAUUUCGGAUUCUUAAAAUCCGGAUAUUUCCCCCCACUAAUUAACACUAGUUUUUAGAUUUUAAGCGAAUCGAGGAAUUUACUGGUUUUACAAUAAUGCUUAUUUUUGUUUUGUAUCUGUAAAUAACUUUUCUACCAGAAAUAUUGCUCCGAUGUUCAUGUGUAAUACCAUCUCUGAAAGUGAAUUUUAUUUUGGUAGUCAUUUAUUGAUU